UCACAUUAGCACGGUGACACUACGCCUGCGAUACUACACUUGCUCUAUGCUAGUAGCGGAACAACUCGUAGCAGCGGAAUACUUCUAGCAGCGGAACAACGACGAAGGUGGUGAACUCCACUCCGCAGGGACUCUGGCUGGGACACGAUCUAGCUCGCACGAAUGGAAACCAUGACAAACAAUCAAUCACGACAUCACCUGCAAUCUGGCAUGACACACCAGGUCAGUACAUUGAAUGUACUUGCAAGCUCACAACAACCAAGAGCAUCAAGGCAAGACAACAACAUAGAAUUAGCAGAUUAAAUUAUCCACAACUACUAUGAUACGAAAGCAACUAAUAAGCAUGAUAUGAAACUACUACAAUACUGAUAAUCCAAUAUCUCAAUCUCAACAACCAUCUCACUCUUGGCUAACCGGCCAAGCAAUAUACCAUCUCGAUCACCUCAUGAUCCACCUGAUCACCUCGUGAUCAAAACAUCCACAUGAUCACCUCACAACCUAAAUGAUCAUCCUUGAGAUCAUCUCCAUAUCAUCAUCUGCAUUGUGCCAAACUGUUACUGCUCACAAUAUCAACAUAUAAGUCACCUAUAAGUCAUUCCUUCAUGUGAGCGUUGAUCGGACGGUGUGACCUAGUACGAACUUAUGCCCAUGACCGAGGACGUGACUAUCGAUAGAUUAAACACACACUCUGCAAAGGUAGCGCACUUUACCCGAACCACAGAACCCAUGGCCUCACAUUCCCUUUCGGAUGGACCAACGGCGUUCCGACAAAACCGAUCUACUGCCAUGGCACUCUCCCGGCCACUCCGACCAACUCCCCUUUGGGCUAAGUCAUGGGUGGCCCCGUGCCUACCAAAGGCAUCAACAGCCACCGUCGUGGCAAAACAAAAACGGUCCCAAACGGGGACAAGAGAUCUCAAUACCAACCAUGGGCACACAAGGUUAUGUCGGCUUAUCGGGCCAGGGUACCGCACGCCCAUAACCUUCCCUUGUUGGAGGCACCAACGAGAGGCACGACAAUAGACCGCAUUAGGGCCUUCCCAUAACGGGCAAAUAUGGUUGCACUGGAAAAGCUCGGUUCGAUGGCACCUGACCAACUUAAUGACAUAAUUUGUCCCCGAGAUAUAACAGUGAUAACUGAUACUCCGAUAUCAUCUACCAACCUGUAAUCCAAGUCAUAGCAAUAUCCAACAACUAAUCCAAAGCAUACUAGCGUCACACCAAAAUACUCCGGGGAUAGCAUAACACUAUUAUGAUGAAUCCAAGAACGAUAAUACUACUACUCCAAUAGCAAGAACAAGCUAUCCAGCUAAGAUCCACAUGCAAACAUCAUCUCUGAAAUCAUACUCCCAAAACAUAAUAUAACUAUCAUCAACAUUAAUACUAGCCACUAAUAACCCAAAGGCAACAAGACAUCCAAAGUAAUACUCCAAAAUAUCAUACCAGAUACCAUCAUGAAAGUAAGCAUAACAUAAGCCACUAAAAAUCCAAUGGCAACAUGUCACCCACACAAGCUGCAAAAUAUUAGUCUCAGAACUCCAAGCAAUAUCAUGGCAAUAGCAAGAUCAAACAAUACUCCAAGAAAUACCAUGAACAAAUCACAAGUAGCUAAAAAAAAUUAAACAAGUUCAAAUAAUUUAAACCAUGUCACUGCAUUGCAAUCAUGCAAAUGGAGGGUGUGGCUUGCCUGGGGUGGAUGGAUUCAUCGGG
rnacentral:lncRNA from 1 species